AGCGAACGCUGGCGGCAGGCCUAACACAUGCAAGUCGAACGAACUCUUCGGAGUUAGUGGCGGACGGGUGAGUAACACGUGGGAACGUGCCUUUAGGUUCGGAAUAACUCAGGGAAACUUGUGCUAAUACCGAAUGUGCCCUUCGGGGGAAAGAUUUAUCGCCUUUAGAGCGGCCCGCGUCUGGUUAGCUAGUUGGUGAGGUAAAGGCUCACCAAGGCUACGAUCAGUAGCUGGUCUGAGGGGAUGACCAGCCACAUUGGGACUGAGACACGGCCCAAACUCCUACGGGAGGCAGCAGUGGGGAAUCUUGCGCAAUGGGCGAAAGCCUGACGCAGCCAUGCCGCGUGGAUGAUGAAGGUCUUAGGAUUGUAAAAUCCUUUCACCGGUGAAGAUAAUGACUGUAGCCGGAGAAGAAGCCCCGGCUAACUUCGUGCCAGCAGCCGCGGUAA
rnacentral:rRNA from 1 species